AAGAACUAUACUUUCAGAGAACAUCUCUGAACUUCAUUACUAGAAAAACUUCUGUGAACAUGUAGAGUGCCUAAAACCAGGAGGCUGAGACAUGGUGUUCUCUCCUGAGCACAAAACAAGCUCUUUCUAUACCUAUGCUGCCACAGCCUUCUGCCAUUGAUGCUCUUUCUCCUUUCCCCGUGGGAGAGCUAAAGAAAACAUGAUAUGA
ensembl:snoRNA LOC120098735 small nucleolar RNA U3